rnacentral:rRNA from 1 species
GACGAACGCUGGCGGCGUGCUUAACACAUGCAAGUCGAACGAUAAUGCCCAGCUUGCUGGGUGGAUUAGUGGCGAACGGGUGAGUAACACGUGAGUAACCUGCCCCUGACUCUGGGAUAAGCGUUGGAAACGACGUCUAAUACUGGAUAUGACUGCCGGCCGCAUGGUCUGGUGGUGGAAAGAUUUUUUGGUUGGGGAUGGACUCGCGGCCUAUCAGCUUGUUGGUGAGGUAAUGGCUCACCAAGGCGACGACGGGUAGCCGGCCUGAGAGGGUGACCGGCCACACUGGGACUGAGACACGGCCCAGACUCCUACGGGAGGCAGCAGUGGGGAAUAUUGCACAAUGGGCGAAAGCCUGAUGCAGCAACGCCGCGUGAGGGAUGACGGCCUUCGGGUUGUAAACCUCUUUUAGUAGGGAAGAAGCGAAAGUGACGGUACCUGCAGAAAAAGCACCGGCUAACUACGUGCCAGCAGCCGCGGUAAUAC